CUCAACCCUCGACCUUCUAGCCCGAAGUCCAGCGCGCUAACGACUUUGCCCCAAGAGCAUGCUCAAGCGAAAUAGUCGAUAUACGCGCUUAUAAACCCAGGGUCGUUACACUACUCCCUCCUUACAAACAGCGCGACCUCUUGUUAGCUUGCGAUUCUACGUCUUUUAGGAACGCCCCGAAAUACUUUAAAGUACUACUUAAGUUGUUUUUUUGGGUAUCUGUACUUUAUAUUUUUGAAUACUUUUACUUUUACUUCACUACAUUCCUAAAGACAAUUACAUACUCUUUACUCCAUACAUUUUCCCUGACACCCAAAAGUACUUGUUAAAUUUGAAUACUUAGCAAGACAGAAAAUGUUCAAAUGUAUAUACCUAUCAAGAGAACCAGAGGAGGUUGUAGAGAUGGGUCAUUCAGACCCUUUGAGGACCAAUGAAAACUCAGACUCAGAGGGACCAAUCAUAAGAACAAAAAAUACACUCACAUAGGAAAAAAGAGAGCACAGGUUCCAGCCACUCCCAGACAUUUGGGUCCAAUAAGAGGACAUAACACAACCAUUCCUAGGCAGUGGAAACCAAUGAGCCCAGUGCUAGCAGUGUUAUCCCUCUCCUUAGAGAGGCUGUGGGUCUGGAGACGAGGGUGAGCUUGCAGUCAGACAGAGAGGUGUGUGGAUGCCUCUCCAGUCCUGCUGGUCCAGAGAGGAGGCCCCAGGGCCACAGUGUUCAUUGGUUCCCAUUCCCACAUGAUGCAGACCCUGGACCUGUCACUGGGGGGCUGUUGUGUUAUAGAGGGUCUCAGGACAGGAUCGAGUCCUCUGCUGCUGUGUCCCGAUGUGGAAGACUCAUCGUAGUUGUCUGGGGAGACAGUGGGUGUUUGAGACUGGACAUGCUGUGAAGAGCUGUCCUACUGUGGAUCCCCUCGCAGGCUUGGUGAUGGUGGGGUCGCAGGAUGGCCACGUCUAUGCCCUUGACCCACAGGUUCGGCAGUGUGUGUGGACGCACCACUGUGGGAGUGGAGAUGUGUUCUCCUCACCCUGUCUCCAUCCCUCUCUGACAGCAGUGUGUCGCCACCCUUGGUGGAAACUUCCUCUGUCUCCAUCCUGACACUGGUUUUGUCCUGUAGAUGUAUUCCAGGAAGACUACAUUUUUCUCCAUCCCAAGCUGCUUCAUUGGAAACCUAAUCAUCAGCUCUGUGGAUGGAAACAUCUGCUGCCUCAGACACACAGGGAAAAUGGUGAGAGGAAGAACGGCCACUAAGAUAAUGUCCAUUUUUAGUCUUUCUCCUUAACAUCUUCAUUUUCACCAAGUAACUAUUGAUAUUGCUCACUUAUGUGUUUAAUCUUUAAUACUGUGUUUUCUGCUGCUGUGGCAGUAUGUGACCAAGGGCAGUCUUCUCAUCCCCCUGCAUCACACCAGACAAGCAGAGCAUUGUGUGUGGGUCACAUGGUGGGUGGGUGUACUGUCUGAACUGUGCUGACGGCUCAUUGAUGUGGCUCUACCAGAGGGUGUACUCCAGCCCCUGUGUGUUUGAGGGGUCACCCUGAGGUAUGGAAGGUACAUUGGUGGGCCUGGCCUCCACAGAUGGGACCCUGUGUGUUCUGGAUGGAGAGAAUGGAACUCUGAGAGCCUCUCUCUGCCCAGGGAGCUCCUCUCCUGUGGUGUGUAAGCGCUCCUGGUGGU